rnacentral:lncRNA from 1 species
UUUUAUUAUUUAUUUAUUUACGUUGAACAAUCAUGCUUAUAGUCAUCUGUGUAGUGUUUGUCAUUUACAUUUUUCUUUUUUUUCAUAUUGUCAUUUGUAUAGUGGUCCUUGGGGUCUUCUAAUUUUUUCUUUUUUUUCUUUUUAUAAAUAAAGCUAUGAGUAAUAUAUUGACUUUUAAUUAGUAUUAUAGUCCCGAAUUCGCAUGCACAAUUGGUUUGAGUUUACAACUGAUUGUACAAAACUGCAUGCAUGAAGACAUUUUAAAGUCACUGAUGGAGAAUGAAGGGACGAUGAAUGCCUGUUCAAAUUACAUUUGAAGAAAUUACAUAACAUAUAUCAUUUCUUUAUUCAAAAUGACUUUUAACAUGUGAAAUUAUUAUAUUAA